rnacentral:lncRNA from 1 species
UUGAUUCUCCCAUGGGCACAACACCAAGCCUCUGGAGGCCCUCAAGAACACUAUACUAGUUCAUCCACCCACCUCCAAGAGAGGCAAUCCACCAAAGCAGGAGUAGUGUAUUAUGCUUCUCAGUGGCCCGAACCUGGGUAAACUGCCAUGUUUUGUGUCUUCCUCACCAUCGAGUGAGUUCUUUGCCCUGUCCAUCGAGUAGCGAGCUAGGCGAGGUUAGGCCGUGAGAGAUCUUCGUACACGCCCCUGAGUUCGAAUCUUUAGGGUUUUGCAAAGCCGGAAAUCCGACAACAACAACAACCUUUGUUUUAGAACUGUAUAAUAAUAAAUAAAAGAGAAUAUGUGAAAAAAAGAAAAAGGAUAUGCAUACAAGAUGGGCCAGUCCAACCAUCUAUAGGGACGCGUGGUCCAGUACGCGGGUGAGGUUUGCCUGGAACAGCCUAACAAAAUUCGGCCAACGCACCUCACCAAGCAAGGUGCGCACAUACCUACUUAUAUACGCGGCUGAGAGACCAUUUGCAUGAGCCUCUCUCAUUGAAAUAGCAUGUUCUCUAUCCAGCUCCGUGUAUGCCCUGUGGGGCCUACUAGCAGGAGAAAUCAAUAUCCCACGGGCCUGCAUCCUGGUCCAAUAUGGUUGAGUUUCUAGCCAUAUGCAUGCCGUGGGGUGUGAAAUCGCCUGUUAGAGGUGGGCUUUUUCUUUUGUAAAUGGUCCAUGUUUAUGUAUGUACCAUCUCCAAAUCACCCAAUUUUUUUUACUUGUCACAUACAAGUAGUAAACAUGAUUAUCAAGGAAAAUUCAACAAUAAUGAAGUUUACGUUGUCCCCUUAAGGUAAAGUCAGAGGUAUGUACUUGAGCUUCACUGAUCCACUAUAAAUUAUAUAAAAUUCAAAAAAAUGGAAAGCUUUAAUAUUCUGUCUAUGUUUAUGAAAGACAUCAUGUGUACAAAAUUUCACGUGAUUUGGAUGUGGUAUAAAAAACCACCUUGUUAGAAAAACUCGCUUAAGUGAGACCAAAUGGUCCAUACAUUGUUCAAAUGGCCUCAAACCGUUCCCCUUUAGCCAAGUUGACCCACACCAUCCAUCCACCCUUGACCCCACCUCGGUUCGUGAGUUCUCCAACAAGUCCCUCCCUUCAUAUGCCAAGCAUGUCAAAACGACACACGGCUACCCGUCUUGCACACCGAGAUUUGGCAUCAUCCACUAGUGCGAGCAAACAUAUCCAGCUGAGCAUAUUUGCCCAUCGUGGACACUACCGCAUGGUCUAGAUCGAGGUGGCUAGCGGUGCAUGUUGCCUGCCCGGUUGGCUAAGGGUGCAUGAAAUGGUUCAACAUGAAUUGUAUUGCAUCACUUCCAGAUUCCCCUCUCCGAUACCGGACGCCGGAGGCCCGGAGCAGCACAUGCAUGCUACAAAAAUCUGCACGGUCGCUGGCGGAGCUUGGAUAAGACAAAUUUGAGCUAACCUCCAUAAGGUAGGUGCUGAAAUUCAAUAUUUAGGAAUUGUUAACAAAAUAAAAAGUACAAUUCAAUAUGGUAACAAGUGGACUUUUGGAGGGGAAAACAGGUGCACUCGUUCCACCGUGCCUCCCAUGAUUUUUCUUCCAUCUAUUUCGCCACAAUAUUGGAGGAAAAAAUAAGAAUGUGAUUUUGCAUCAAAAAUGACUUGGGGAGAAAUUCUAAACUAACCAUAUUUAUCUACUAGGUGGAGGUUGCCCCGCGUGGGGAGAUUCGAUCUAGCUCUCCUUGAUUUUAGGGUGAGUUCAACGUGAAUGUGAUGGUGAGACUCUCA